rnacentral:rRNA from 1 species
UACGGAGGGUGCAAGCGUUGUUCGGAUUUAUUGGGCGUAAAGCGCGUGUAGGCGGUUUCUUAAGUCUGAUGUGAAAGCCCUGGGCUCAACCCAGGAAGUGCAUUGGAUACUGGGAGACUUGAAUACGGGAGAGGGUAGUGGAAUUCCCUAGUGUAGGAGUGAAAUCCGUAGAUAUUAGGAGGAACACCGGUGGCGAAGGCGGCUACCUGGACCGAUAUUGACGCUGAGACGCGAAAGCGUGGGGAGCAAAACAGG